AAUAUUAACAAAAAAAUAAAUCAAGAGUUUCUGUUAACACUUGACACCUUCAUGAAAAUAACCAGAAAUGACAAACCCUAAACCCAAUGAUUUGGAGACCGUAGUUAAUGGAGACUACAGGUGAGAGCUCUUCUUUGGUGUCAGAAACCGGGAGCUACAAGCCAGUCAUUGUUAAGAUUAAACGUAAAGCAAUCACAGUCUCCCCUCGAUGUUUUCUGGCUGGAAAUCAAUGAGAGGCCUUUAAAGCUAGCGUUUUUGGAUUCUGAAGAGCUAUCAACUUCCGGUUUAGUUAGAAGUGGAUUUUGAUUCUGAAUUUGCUCAGUUUCGUUUUUUCCUCCCUUAGAAGUUUUCCUGGGUUUUGAUUUUGAUUAACUGCUUACUCUGUAUCGACAAUUGAGAACUAAGAAAAUCCUGGUGCGACAUGUGGAGACUGUUAGAAUCUCUGAGGCUACUAUUGAUGUUCUGGAACAAUUUGUGGCGGUGUACCUCUUUGGAUGCAGCUGAAGGUAAAAGAAAGGAUGAGGAAAGCUCCUUCUCCUUCCUAUUCUAGCUGUCCGCAAAUAAUUCACCAGUGCUUAUUCUAACACGCUUUUGGGUCCAUCAUAUGUCCACAGCGACAAGGCCUGCUUUUGUGUAAAGCCAGAAAACUACAGAAGAGAUAUGUCUUUGGAGUAUCAAAGAAUCCUGUAUAUUACCUGCUUCUCCUGAGAGGGUUUACUCAAAAUUCAGCUGAAGAGAUUGAAUCUGAUAUCCAAGCUCACAACUAUAGACAAGGUUGUGCAUUAAGAUGUGCCAAGUGAACAUGUAUUUGAUUAUUAUACUGUGAUGGAUUUGAGCAUAGAAAAUGAGGACGCUUCUACUUCAUUUCCGCUUUAAGGGGUACAAGCUGAGGAUGAUGAUUUCUCCAAUUGCUCUGACGAUUCAGAAUAUGUAGCAAGGAUUCGGAUGCGGAUGAUAAUUCAAGAAAUUAUUAUCCACAGGGGAUGUCUGAAGAGGAAGAGGGAGAGAAAAGUGAGGCAUCUGAAGAAUCAGAAGAUGAGAGUUUGCAGGGUAUAUAUUCAGAACCUCAUGAGUUAAUACAUGAAGAUGAAAUGUACAAUGAUUACUCUCAUGAUGAUAAUUUGGCUUAUUGGACCAUUAUGAUGCUGAGUGUGAAUAUUUGUGGUGUCUGGGGGAAGUGGAAAUUUCUCUUUAAGCUGUGAAUGUUAUUGAUCACCCAAUUUAAGGGGCAGUUUUAGAGGUGCUCAUCUUCAAGGAACUGAACUACUGAAUCAUUUUAGAUGAAUUACUUGCAUGAUAGUUCUUCAGGUUGGGUGGGAAGGAACGUGAAGCUGCAACCUUUACUGUUAGUAUUUCCCUGCAAAAACAAGAAGUAACGAAUUUGAAGAAGACAGUAAUCGGGUCCUGAUAGUUUCUAUGCAGGGAGAAGUAAUUUGAUAAAAUAGUAUGCUUGAUGUGUCUAGCAAUCACUUAUGGGAAUAAAACAAGGAAAA